rnacentral:lncRNA from 1 species
GAGUCACUGGCUCAUCCAGUUAAGAUCAUCACCCACUUUCCUAACAAAACUUCUCUUCAAAGAAGGACUCGCUCAUCCAUCAGGUGGACCUCCACAGGAACAAAUCAUAUCCAUGUCAGGCGGCACCAAACCUAAAUCUGCUUCUGCCUCAGCAGACAGGACAUGUUGAGUUUGGCCAGUGAGUGCUGCAGGAUACUGGAGGGAGGGCAACAGAGAGGAAGGUAGAUUAGUGCCACCAUCAAGGACUUGAAAGAUGCAGGGGUGAUGAUUCCCAACCCAUUCCUGUUCAACUCUCCCAUUUGGCCUGUGCGGAAGACAGAUGGAUCUUGGAGAACGACAGUGAAUUAUCAUAAGCUUAACCAAGUGGUGACUCCAAUUGCAGCUGCUGUAGCAGAUAUGGUUUCAUUGCUUGAGAAAUGUGUACCUGGUAUGCAGCCAUUGACUUGGCAAAUGCCUUUUUCUCCAUACCUGUCCAUAAGGCCCACCAGAAGCAAUUUGCCUUCAGCU